rnacentral:sRNA from 1 species
GAAGACGCGCAAAAUUGUUAUCAUCCUUAUUUUUCUAAGAGACUUUUUUAUUCGGCCACCACUCGGUGGCCAUUUU